UACGUAGGGUCCGAGCGUUAAUCGGAAUUACUGGGCGUAAAGCGUGCGCAGGCGGUUUUGUAGGCCAGAUGUGAAAGCCCCGGGCUUAACCUGGGAAUGGCAUUUGGGACUGCAAGGCUGGAGUACGGCAGAGGGAGGUGGAAUUCCACGUGUAGCAGUGAAAUGCGUAGAGAUGUGGAGGAACACCGAUGGCGAAGGCAGCCUCCUGGGCUAGUACUGACGCUCAUGCACGAAAGCGUGGGGAGCAAACAGG
rnacentral:rRNA from 1 species